rnacentral:rRNA from 1 species
UACGUAGGGUGCGAGCGUUGUCCGGAAUUAUUGGGCGUAAAGAGCUCGUAGGCGGUCUGUCGCGUCGGUCGUGAAAACUUGGGGCUUAACCCUGAGCUUGCGGUCGAUACGGGCAUGACUGGAGUUCGGUAGGGGAGACUGGAAUUCCUGGUGUAGCGGUGAAAUGCGCAGAUAUCAGGAGGAACACCGGAGGCGAAGGCGGCUUGCUGGGCGUGAUCUGACGCUGAGGCGCGAAAGCGUGGGGAGCGAACAGG